rnacentral:rRNA from 1 species
AUGAGCACUGUUGUAGCUGAAACUUCUGCUGAUCAACCUCAAGGAAUUGCUCCUUCAACGAGCGCUGCCGUAGCUGAAACUUCUGCUCAUCAAGUUCAAGGAAUUGCUCCUCCAAUGACCGCUGCUGUAGCUGAAGAUGACCAAGCUCCUGUCAAAAUACCAUGUGUUGUUCAAGCUCAAGUUGAAUCUUCCCAAUCCGAUGUGGCAGAACCAUUUGAAACUGAAGAUGUAGUGUUUGUUGAAGCUCAACCUGGGGAUGACCAAGUCGCCGCCCAAGAAUUCAGCAUCAUUGCAGAUGUAGAAGAUGUUGUUGCUGAUAGGGCCUACUGGGAUUUCACCCCACCAUCUUGCUCUCUUGGCCUAGAUUUUGGCCCCACACCACCCGGACCAGAUAUUAAUAUGACGACCGCAGUUCCAGCUGCAGUACCAACACCGCCCCCAGCGGUUGUUUCGACAACUCAAGCACCAGCAGUGGCCCCAACGGUUAACAAUGCUCCCCAAGACCGAGCAGCAGCACCCCCAAUUGAUCAUAUGGCGGCAGCACCACGAGAUUUAAAGAAUGCAGAAGAUAAUCCUAUUAACUCCAAUCCGUUUUCAGAAUCUGAGCCUGCUGACCUUGGUAAGUGA